GCUGGGUGUGGUGGCGCGCGCCUGUAAUCCCAGGUACUCGGGAGGCUGAGGCAGGAGAAUCGCUUGAACCCAGGAGGCAGAGCUUGCAGUGAGCCGAGAUUGUACCACUGCAUUCCAGCCUGGGUGACAGAGUGAGACUCUAUCUCAA
ensembl:misc_RNA Metazoa_SRP Metazoan signal recognition particle RNA